rnacentral:tmRNA from 1 species
GGGGUCGUUACGGAUUCGACAGGCAUUAUGAGGCAUAUUUUGCAACUCAUCUAGCGGAUGUAAAACGCCAGUUAAAUAUAACUGCAAAAAAUAACAAUUCUUACGCUUUAGCUGCCUAAAAACCAGCCAGCGUGACCCGAUUCGGAUGGCUUGUGUCUGAUGACAGGUCUUAUUUUCAGCAAGCUACGGUAAAAUCCAGUCUAGGGAUUUUGCAGGAGAUGAAUAGACUCGCCUGACUUGGGCCUGAGCUGUGUGUCAAAGUCAAGUUAAAGCAAGACACAGCCUAUGGUUGUAGACAAAUGUGUUAGCAGGUGUUUGGACGUGGGUUCGACUCCCACCGGCUCCAUUG